rnacentral:rRNA from 1 species
UACGUAGGGUGCAAGCGUUGUCCGGAAUUAUUGGGCGUAAAGAGCUUGUAGGCGGUUUGUCGCGUUGUUCGUGAAAACUCACAGCUUAACUGUGGGCGUGCGGGCGAUACGGGCAGACUGGAGUACUGCAGGGGAGACUGGAAUUCCUGGUGUAGCGGUGGAAUGCGCAGAUAUCAGGAGGAACACCGAUGGCGAAGGCAGAUCUCUGGGCCGUAACUGACGCUGAGGAGCGAAAGCAUGGGGAGCGAACAGG